GGCCCGAAGAAGUCUAAAACGCGGCUGAUAGACCAUGGACUUGACCUACUUUUACCCAUGAUUUAUAAGUUAUUUAACUACUAUUUUUUAUAUUAUAGAGUCUAUUUAGUAUAUUUAUAGGAUCAUGAGUGAUUUGGAGGAAAGUGAUGAUUUUGGAGCAUUUUGGAGAUAUUUGGAGUAAGCACCCGAGAUGACCACCGAGCACAACCAUCAGUCUACAUUGAGGAAGAAUAAUCGAUCUAUGUUCACAUUGUGACAUCGAUCGACAGCGAAGCGCGCAGAAAGCCCGUUUGGUCUCAGCCGACUUAGAGCCCAAGUCUUCACCUAUUUACAAGAUUACCCCUG
rnacentral:lncRNA from 1 species